rnacentral:rRNA from 1 species
AUUGAACGCUGGCGGCAGGCCUAACACAUGCAAGUCGAGCGGAUGAGUGGAGCUUGCUCCAUGAUUCAGCGGCGGACGGGCGAGUAAUGCCUAGGAAUCUGCCUGGUAGUGGGGGACAACGUUUCGAAAGGAACGCUAAUACCGCAUACGUCCUACGGGAGAAAGUGGGGGAUCUUCGGACCUCACGCUAUCAGAUGAGCCUAGGUCGGAUAAGCUAGUUGGUGAGGUAAAGGCUCACCAAGACGACGAUCCGUAACUGGUCUGAGAGGAUGAUCAGUGACACUGGAACUGAGACACGGUCCAGACUCCUACGGGAGGCAGCAGUGGGGAAUAUUGGACAAUGGGCGAAAGCCUGAUCCAGCCAUGCCGCGUGUGUGAAGAAGGUCUUCGGAUUGUAAAGCACUUUAAGUUGGGAGGAAGGGCAGUAAGUUAAUACCUUGCUGUUUUGACGUUACCAACAGAAUAAGCACCGGCUAACUUCGUGCCAGCAGCCGCCGCUGUAA